GACGAACGCUGGCGGCGUGCCUAAUACAUGCAAGUUGAGCGCUGAAGGUUGGUACUUGUACCAACUGGAUGAGCAGCGAACGGGUGAGUAACGCGUGGGGAAUCUGCCUUUGAGCGGGGGACAACAUUUGGAAACGAAUGCUAAUACCGCAUAAAAACUUUAAACACAAGUUUUAAGUUUGAAAGAUGCAAUUGCAUCACUCAAAGAUGAUCCCGCGUUGUAUUAGCUAGUUGGUGAGGUAAAGGCUCAACAAGGCGAUGAUACAUAGCCGACCUGAGAGGGUGAUCGGCCACAUUGGGACUGAGACACGGCCCAAACUCCUACGGGAGGCAGCAGUAGGGAAUCUUCGGCAAUGGACGAAAGUCUGACCGAGCAACGCCGCGUGAGUGAAGAAGGUUUUCGGAUCGUAAAACUCUGUUGGUAGAGAAGAACGAUGGUGAGAGUGGAAAGCUCAUCAAGUGACGGUAACUACCCAGAAAGGGACGGCUAACUACGUG
rnacentral:rRNA from 1 species